rnacentral:rRNA from 1 species
AUGAGGAAUCUUGCGCAAUGGGGGCAACCCUGACGCAGCGACGCCGCGUGAGUGAAGAAGGUUUUCGGAUCGUAAAGCUCUUUUCUGGGGGACGAAAUUGACGGUACCCCAGGAAUAAGCCCCGGCUAACUACGUGCCAGCAGCCGCGGUAAUACGUAGGGGGCGAGCGUUGUCCGGAUUCACUGGGCGUAAAGCGCGCGUAGGCGGAGUUGCGUGUCCGGCCUGAAAGCCCCCGGCUCAACCGGGGAGGGCGGCCGGAAACUGCAAUUCUUGAGGGCGAUAGGGGAGAGCGGAAUUCCUGGUGUAGCGGUGAAAUGCGUAGAUAUCAGGAGGAACACCGGUGGCGAAGGCGGCUCUCUGGGUCGGCCCUGACGCUGAGGCGCGAAAGCGUGGGUAGCGAACGGG